rnacentral:rRNA from 1 species
UACAGAGGGUGCAAGCGUUAAUCGGAUUUACUGGGCGUAAAGGGCGCGUAGGUUGUUGCGUAAGUGAGAUGUGAAAUCCCCGGGCUUAACCUGGGACGUGCAUCUUAGACUGCGUAACUUGAGUGUAGUAGAGGGUAGUGGAAUUUCCGGUGUAGCGGUGAAAUGCGUAGAUAUCGGAAGGAACACCAGUGGCGAAGGCGGCUACCUGGGCUAACACUGACACUGAGGCGCGAGAGCGUGGGGAGCAAACAGG